AAAAACGACUCUCGGCAACGGAUAUCUCGGCUCUUGCAUCGAUGAAGAACGUAGCGAAAUGUGAUACUUGGUGUGAAUUGCAGAAUCCCGUGAACCAUCGAGUCUUUGAACGCAAGUUGCGCCCAAAGCCAUUUGGUUGAGGGCACGCCUGCUUGGGUGUCGUG
rnacentral:rRNA from 1 species